rnacentral:tRNA from 1 species
CCUUUUAUAGCUCAGUUGGCAGAGUGGGGGACGGUAGUUGUUGACAGCAAUCAUCCCUAGGGUACUGGUUUGAAUCCGGUUCGAAGGA